rnacentral:rRNA from 1 species
ACGCUCGACACCUACGGAGGCAACAGUGGGGAAUAUUGCACAAUGGGGGAAACCCUGAUGCAGCGACGCCGCGUGAGCGAAGAAGUAUUUCGGUAUGUAAAGCUCUAUCAGCAGGGAAGAAACUGACGGUACCUGACUAAGAAGCACCGGCUAAAUACGUGCCAGCAGCCGCGGUAAUCUGAGCGGGCUGGCAAGGC